rnacentral:tRNA from 1 species
GCCCCAGUAGUUUAAUGUUAAAACACCGGUUUUGUAAUCCGGAAAGUGAAGAUUAAUAGUUCUUCCUGGUGCA